GCGAAGCUGCAAGGGAGGAAACGAGGGCCUCCCCAAGGUGAGAUAAAGAAGAUCUCUCUCGCUCGCGUUUUGUCCUUUGUUUGGAGGUGCUAUCGAUCUAGGAUUAGGGGUUCAACUCGAGGGAUCUCACUUGGGUUCCUGCCCCGAUUCGCCGUCCCAUUAGGGUUCGACUUCGACCCCCACCUCGUGUUGGGCGGAACUUAGGUUCCUUCGGCUCGAUCGUGGCUUGCUUCUCACGCUAUGAACGCUUAGGAUUGGGCCGAAGAGCAAUUAAGGUCAAUGUGCAUGGGUGUCCACAUUCUAUUUCGAGGCUACAUUCGAGGAGUGAAAAAAAAAAUAGGGCAGCAGGGACAAUAUGCUGAUUUAGGCAUCAAUCCUUUGGUAGCUGCACAGAUGCAAUACAUGUCAGCACAGAGCGUACAACACAACUCUGGUAUGAGUCAUUUUCCAAGUGGAUCAGAUUCUUUCCAGCCUGGUGAAGAACAUCAAUAUAUGCCUUCUAAAGAAGAGGGACAAUGGCAGUGGAAUAGAAAUGACCCAAAGGGAUCAAAUCAUCUAUCUCAACUGUAUAAAGAAGGCCAAUAAAGACCCAAGAGCACUAGCUUAUGAGGAUUAGCUGGAGGCCAGAUUUGAGGAUAGCACUCUUCGUCAAACUUUUGAAGGUCUUGAACAAAAAUUUCUUUAUGAUAUUAUGAACUUGACCAAGGAGCAGCAGGAAGCAGAAGACAGAGAGAAUGCUAGACAUCGAGAGGUCCAGCCUCCCAUAUCCUUAAGUUUCUGCAUUGAAUCGAUUCUAAAUGCUUGCACAAAAAUUUUUUGAGCAUUAUCCUGGUGGUCGUGGCUUUGGUUCUCAUGAUCAUUAUCCUGGUGGUCGAGCUUAUAACUCCAGAGGCCGACAUUUUUUAGCAAAGUUGCAAAAAUGUUUCUCCUCAUCCUUUGGCCUGUCAUCACUGCUUGACAACAUUAUUCUGAAGACUCGUAUCUCAGUAGUAUUGAUGAAGCACAAAUAGCGUUUCUCUAAGCGGCAACUGUUCUGCUGAAUGCCGAUCAUGUCUGGAUAUGGGUGUGUAGCAGUGUAGUGGAUAAUCUUCAAAAUUUUCUUAGUGUAUUUCACUGUGAAUUACUUCAAUAUCAUCACCUCGAUCAAUAUAUUUGUUCUGAACAUGGUGGCAACAGAGCUCUAGACCUCCUCAUCAUAAUUCUGGGCAGGCUUAGCUUCAGUUUGAGAUUUUCUCGAAUGAUCAUCAGGCAGUGUUUCUUUCACAGGACAGUCGUGAGCAUGCUGGUUGAUCUUAAUAUAUCAGCACUCAACCUUCGUCAAGGCAAAAUUUCAUAUACGCCAGUGAAAGACCAGUCUUCUAUUUGCGCUUUCAAAAGUGUAAUAUCAAAUUUGUUCCUCAUGGAGCUAUAAAUUCUUUUGUCACUGGUAUAUUCAUGGUGGAUGCCUGUGAACUCAGUGUGCUACCAUCAACCAUAUCUACCCCUAAACUAAGGUACAUGUGAUAUUUUUUAUAUGUUGGAAUAUUAUAUUUACUCUUUCUGGUA